UUCGCUCGAGCAGUUUGGGCCAUAGUUCAAGUAGCUUCAAAUUUAUACCCACCACGUAGUGCUCAUAACAUGUUCGGCAAUUGGUUGAGGGAUAUUGAUAAACAUUUUUCUGCACAUAUUCUUGUGGGGGCGGCUGCCUUAUGCUGGGCAUUGUGGCUUACCAGGAAUGAUGUGGUUCUUAAUAAAAAAUGGGCUUCAUCUCCUAUGCACGUUAUUCAUAUAUGUACGUGAUGGCUCCGUACUUGGUCUAUCCUGCAGAGGCCGUAUGACAGGGACCUUUUAUGA
rnacentral:rRNA from 1 species